GAGGUGGGAGGAUUGCUUGAGCCUGGGAGGUCGAGGCUGCAGUGAGCUGAGAUUGUGCCACUGCACUCCAGCCUGAGUGACAGAGCAAUACACUGUCUC
ensembl:miRNA